CGCCUUGUCAAAGAAACCCAUAGGAGCGAUAUGCUUAGCUCCGUUUUUCGUCGCCAAAGUAUUGUGCGGCACGAAAAUAACCUUAGGAAAGACGAGUCCUCCGGCCAAAUGGCCCCAUUCCUCGGCGAUUGCAGAGGCGCGAAAAAUCGGAGCUAAAAUCGAGGAACGCGACGUUACACAGGUUACCCAUUGCAAAGAGCACGAUGUCUUCAGUACACCGGCCUGGAUGUACAACGGAACUUACGCCGACGUUCACGAUGGCAUUGGAAGGCUGGUGAAAGCUCUGAAAAAGAGGAUUAGAUAGGCA
rnacentral:misc_RNA from 1 species